CCGGUCUACCUGGUUAAAUAAAGGUGAUCUGGUCUACCUGGUUAAAUAAAGGUGAUCCGGUCUACCCGGUUAAAUAAAGGUGAUCCGGUCUACCCGGUUAAAUAAAGGUGAUCUGGUCUACCCGGUUAAAUAAAGGUGAUCCGGUCUACCUGGUUAAAUAAAGGUGAUCCGGUCUACCCGGUUAUAUAAAGGUGAUCUGGUCUACCCGGUUAAAUAAAGGUGAUCUGGUCUACCUGGUUAAAUAAAGGUGAUCUGGUCUACCUGGUUAAAUAAAGGUGAUCUGGUCUACCCGGUUAAAUAAAGGUGAUCUGGUCUACCUGGUUAAAUAAAGGUGAUCUGGUCUACCUGGUUAAAUAAAGGUGAUCUGGUCUACCUGGUUAAAUAAAGGUGAUCUGGUCUACCUGGUUAAAUAAAGGUGAUCUGGUCUACCUGGUU